AAUGGGAGGAGAGCUGAAUCCGCAUAAACCUCCUAGGCCUUAUGGGAACUCUUGGUAAGGAAUCUUUGAAGCAAUAACUAAACGCUCUAAUGCCCCAACAAGAGUCAGUCCUCUAACUGGUGGAGAUGGGAUAUUUUCCAGAGAAGACAGGAAAUCCUCACAAGGGUCUGGGGGGGAAGGGGAAGACCUGCGCCUCGUCCUGUUCAAGGCGGUAAUUGCUAGCCCUCAAGGAGGAUCGGGGGCCCUGCAUGCCUGCACCACGGAGGAGAUUCUCAACAUUCUUCUGCAGCUGUAGCCCGCUACUGCUCGUUUCUAGAGGUGAUGGAUUUUGCCUAGGCCCUGUUUCCUGUCAUUCCAAUGGCUUAAGGCUUUUUCCUGAUGCACUUCUCUGCUCUGCCUGGAGAAUGGCGAUGAAGUGACAUCUCCAUGGAAACAGAUGUUGAUCCCACAGUUGCUUAGCGAUGUGCUGCAGGACGAUGUCCAGGGUGCAUCCCACCUCCUCCAGGAAGCCCUCCCUGACCGCUGCCACCCAGGCUCAUCUGCAGCACUUCCUGGCUGUAGCCCUUGUUUUCUUCUCUGUGAACAGUGACCCAUGAUGCAUACUUUGCAUAAACACGUCUGUCCGGUGCCUGGUGCAUGCCUCCAUUCCCUAACAGGACAUAUGUAUAUGGCAAAAUUUGGCUUCAGCUCAAUGUUUAACACGUGGCCAUUCUACCUUUGGCCGAGCCUCCUCCUGAACCAUCGUUGUGGAGCCAAUUACUGUGACCUUGUGGAGAUGGAAGCC